rnacentral:rRNA from 1 species
AUACAGAGGGUGCAAGCGUUAAUCGGAAUUACUGGGCGUAAAGAGCACGUAGGUGGCUUGGUAAGUCGGAUGUGAAAUCCCCGGGCUCAACCUGGGAAUUGCAUUCGAUACUGCCAUACUAGAGUCUAGCAGAGGGAUGCGGAAUUCCGGGUGUAGCGGUGAAAUGCGUAGAGAUCCGGAGGAACAUCAGUGGCGAAGGCGGCAUCCUGGGCUAAGACUGACACUGAGGUGCGAAAGCGUGGGGAGCAAACAGGAUUAGAAACCCCGGUAGUCC